rnacentral:tRNA from 1 species
UCCCGUGUGGUCUAGUGGUCAGGAUUCGUGGUUUUCACCCACGCGGCCCGGGUUCGAUUCCCGGCACGGGAA